UUUUAGCCCCGAUAGAAGCGACAUCCUUUUUCUGGCUUCUUUAGCCAGGAAAAGAUAUAGCGGAUAGCGGGAUUAGCU
rnacentral:sRNA from 1 species